UAGGGCCGGCAAACGAGCGAGCCGGCUCGCGUUCGACUCGUGUUUGGCUCGAUAUUCGGCUCGCUCGAGCUCGACUCGAAAUUAAAUGAGCCGAGCUUGAACAAAAUAAAAGGCUCGAAAUUCAUUUCAAGCCGAGCUUGAGUAUUACUCGGCUCGUUCGAAUUAGGCUCGAAAAGCUCGAAAAGCUCGAAAAUAUAUAUAUAUAUAUAUAUAUAUAUAUAUAUAGGCUGGGGCUACUAUACUAUUAUGAGUAUAGACCCCCUUGUACUCAUAAAUUUUUAACCGUUGAUUGAUGGGAUGUGUGGUUAGGAUGAUGGUGGUCCCCACUUCGAAUGAUAGUGGUCCCCUAGGGUUGAGUGGGUAGUUGGUUAAAUAGUAUGAUCUAACGGAUGAAAAUGAUUAAUGGAAUAAAUCUAAGGGUCGAAAACUUAUGAGUAUAAAGGAGCCAAUACUCAUAAAAGUAUAGUAGCCGGACUAUAUAUAUAUAUAUAUAUAUAUAAUAUUUAUAAAUAUAAUGUAUUUUAAUUAUAUAUAGGCUUUAAUUUAAUUUGGGGCAUUAUUGUUGGCCCAUAAAAUAAACCCAACAAGUACGACCGUGCAAUUGAGCCCAACUCUAAAUUUACAUAACACACUCUCUCUUCCAGACUCUUACUGUUGCACAUAACCCUAAAACAUGAUAACAUUCAAAUUUUCAAAUUCCUACUUUUUUUUCCUCUCUCUCUCUCUCUCUCUCUCUCUCUCUCGCUCUCUCUCUCUCAGACCCUCAUCCAGUCAGGAAGUCACCCUAGCUCACAUUUCUUAUAAUUAUUUUGUAUUUUAAACUAUUGGACAUGUUGUAUCAACUUGUAGAUAAUGUUCUAUAAAAAUUAAACUAUUGAUUAUAUAAUAUCGAGAAUUUCAAUCGGCUCGUUUAGAGCUCGAGCUCGGCUCGACUCGAAAUUAGGCUCGCUCGAGCUCGGCUCGAAUUAAUUUCAAGCCGAGCUUGA
rnacentral:lncRNA from 1 species